GAAUAUUGGACAAUGGGCGAAAGCCUGAUCCAGCGACGCCGCGUGUGUGAAGAAGGCCUGCGGGUUGUAAAGCACUUUUAGUGGGGAUGAAAAGCCGAAGGCUAAUACCUUUCGGUCUUGACCUAACCCACAGAAAAAGCACCGGCUAACUCUGUGCCAGCAGCCGCGGUAAUACAGAGGGUGCGAGCGUUAAUCGGAAUUACUGGGCGUAAAGCGUGCGUAGACGGUUGCGUAAGUCAGAUGUGAAAGCCCCGGGCUCAACCUGGGAAUUGCAUUUGAGACUGCGUAGCUAGGGUACGGAAGAGGGAAGCGGAAUUUCCGGUGUAGCGGUGAAAUGCGUAGAUAUCGGAAGGAACACCAGUGGCGAAAGCGGCUUCCUGGUCCAGUACCGACGUUCAGGCACGAAAGCGUGGGGAGCAAAC
rnacentral:rRNA from 1 species